rnacentral:rRNA from 1 species
AGAGUUUGAUCCUGGCUCAGAACGUACGCUGGCGGCACGCCUUAUACAUGCAAGUCGAACGAAGUAGCAAUACUUAGUGGCAGACGGGUGAGUAACAUGUGGGUAUCUGCCCUUUGGCCUGGAAUAACACGAGGAAACUUGUGCUAAUACCGGAUAAGUCUUUACGGAGAAAGCUUUAUGCACCAUUGGAUGAGCCUGCACUUGAUUAGUUUGUUGGUGGGGUAAUGGCCUACCAAGACAAUGAUCAAUAGCUGAUUUGAGAGGAUGAUCAGCCACAUUGGAACUGAGACACGGUCCAAACUCCUACGGGAGGCAGCAGUAGGGAAUCUUGCACAAUGGAGGAAACUCUGAUGCAGCGAUGCCGCGUGAGUGAAGAAGGCCUUUGGGUUGUAAAGCUCUUUCGUCGGGGAAGAAAAUGACUGUACCCGAAUAAGAAGGUCCGGCUAACUUCGUGCCAGCAGCCGCGGUAAUACGAAGGGACCUAGCGUAGUUCGGAAUUACUGGGCUUAAAGAGUUCGUAGGUGGUUAAAAAAGUUGGUGGUGAAAUCCCAGAGCUUAACUCUGGAACUGCCAUCAAAACUUUUUAGCUAGAGUAUGAUAGAGGAAAGCAGAAUUUCUAGUGUAGAGGUGAAUUCGUAGAUAUUAGAAAGAAUACCGAUUGCGAAGGCAGCUUUCUGGAUCAUUACUGACACUGAGGAACGAAAGCAUGGGUAGCGAAGAGGAUUAGAUACCCUCGUAGUCCAUGCCGUAAACGAUGUGUGUUAGACGUUGGAAAUUUAUUUUCAGUGUCGCAGCGAAAGCGAUAAACACACCGCCUGGGGAGUACGACCGCAAGGUUAAAACUCAAAUGAAUUGACGGGGACCCGCACAAGUAGUGGAGCAUGUGGUUUAAUUCGAAGAUACGCGCAGAACCUUACCAACACUUGACAUGUUCGUCGCGACUCUAAGAGAUUAGAGUUUUCGGUUCGGCCGGACGAAACACAGGUGCUGCAUGGCUGUCGUCAGCUCGUGUCGUGAGAUGUUGGGUUAAGUCCCGCAACGAGCGCAACCCUUACUUUUAGUUGCCAUCAUUUAGUUGGGCACUCUGAAAGAACUGCCAGUGAUAAGCUGGAGGAAGGUGGGGAUGACGUCAAGUCCUCAUGGCCCUUAUGUGUUGGGCUACACACGUGCUACAAUGGUAUCUACAACAGGAAGCAAGAUGGCAACAUUUAGCAAAUCCUAAAAAGAUAUCUCAGUUCGGAUUGCACUCUGCAACUCGAGUGCAUGAAGCUGGAAUUACUAGUAAUCGUGGAUCAGCGUGCCACGGUGAAUACGUUCCCGGGUCUUGUACACACCGCCCGUCACACCAUGGGAGUUGGUUCUACCUUAAGGCAAAGUUUAAAACCUUUGACCACGGUAUAGUCAGCGACUGGGGUGAAGUCGUAACAAGGUAACC